rnacentral:lncRNA from 1 species
AUCUCUUCGAUAGGGAGUUCGUCAAAGUCAAACCCGUACGUUUUUUGCAAAUUCUUGUAUCGAUCAAAAGUGAUCAAUCCCUUCGGACAAGGUCCUCACUUUGACCAACGUCUCUUCUCAUUCCAAUGAGCCAAAUUUUUCAAAUUAUUUUUCACUCCAUGAGUUGAUCGGAUCCAUCAGGUAUCGUAUAGUGCCUACUCUAGUGGAUUGCAUUUUCAUGCUAGGCCUACCCUUGACACAAAAAGGGUUCCCUCAUAGGACAUGCAUACCGAUUUUGCAGUUUUGCCUACUAACUCUGGGUAUUUUUCUUUUGUUUUCCCCCUCCCCUGCAUUCAUAAAAAUGUUUCAAUAAGAUGAAAAUAUUCUUCUAUAUCUGAUGAUAAUUUUAAUCCAAUAAAGUUUGAAGAUUACAAGUGUUAUUUGAUUCUGGGGCAGAUCCUACAAUGAAAACAUAAAUGAUCUAUCUGGAAGCUCUACGCUAAAGCCUCUGAGAGAUUUUGUAAUUGUUUUCCAAAGGAAAAUUUUGUAUAUUUGAUUUGUUAAUACAUUUUGUUUCAAAAGAAAAGGAGACAAAAAGUGUAUAUGUGGAGCUCUUUACAAGUUUCUCUCUUCUCAUUUGUAUCGUAAUUGAAUGAGAAAUUUUGUUUCAAACUUUUUCAGUAAUAAAAUUUUUGGACAAUCAUUGUUUUGUGUAUAUUUAUGUACAUUUCAUUCUUUAUUCUUACUCAUUGGAGAUUUCAUGAUGAAUUUUGAAAAAUAAAACUAAGUUGAGAUUUUUUCAACCUCCAGCCUGAAUUUCACAAGUGUAUACUCUCCUAAAAUCCUUACACUCGAUUGGCAAUCCGAGCCAUA